rnacentral:rRNA from 1 species
UACGUAGGGGGCGAGCGUUGUCCGGAUUUAUUGGGCGUAAAGAGCUCGUAGGCGGCUUGGCAAGUCGGGUGUGAAACCUCCAGGCUCAACCUGGAGACGCCACUCGAUACUGCUAUGGCUAGAGUCCGGUAGGGGACCACGGAAUUCCUGGUGUAGCGGUGAAAUGCGCAGAUAUCAGGAGGAACACCGGUGGCGAAGGCGGCUCGCUGGACCAUAACUGACGCUGAGGCACGAAAGCUAGGGGAGCAAACAGG